CCUACGGGCGGCAGCAGUGAGGAAUAUUGGUCAAUGGACGAGAGUCUGAACCAGCCAAGUAGCGUGAAGGAUGACUGCCCUAUGGGUUGUAAACUUCUUUUAUAUGGGAAUAAAAUGUUCCACGUGUGGGAUUUUGUAUGUACCAUAUGAAUAAGGAUCGGCUAACUCCGUGCCAGCAGCCGCGGUAAUACGGAGGAUCCGAGCGUUAUCCGGAUUUAUUGGGUUUAAGGGGAGCGUAGGUGGAUUGUUAAGUCAGUGGUGAAAGUUUGCGGCUCAACCGUAAAAUUGCAGUUGAAACUGGCAGUCUUGAGUACAGUAGAGGUGGGCGGAAUUCGUGGUGUAGCGGUGAAAUGCUUAGAUAUCACGAAGAACUCCGAUUGCGAAGGCAGUUCACUGGACUGCAACUGACACUGAGGCUCGAAAGUGUGGGUAUCAAACAGGAUUAGAUACCCUAGUAGUC
rnacentral:rRNA from 1 species